ensembl:lncRNA PVT1 Pvt1 oncogene
CGCGCUCCUCCGGGCAGAGCGCGUGUGGCGGCCGAGCACAUGGGCCCGCGGGCCGGGCGGGCUCGGGGCGGCCGGGACGAGGAGGGGCGACGACGAGCUGCGAGCAAAGAUGUGCCCCGGGACCCCCGGCACCUUCCAGUGGAUUUCCUUGCGGAAAGGAUGUUGGCGGUCCCUGUGACCUGUGGAGACACGGCCAGAUCUGCCCUCCAGCCUGAUCUUUUGGCCAGAAGGAGAUUAAAAAGAUGCCCCUCAAGAUGGCUGUGCCUGUCAGCUGCAUGGAGCUUCGUUCAAGUAUUUUCUGAGCCUGAUGGAUUUACAGUGAUCUUCAGUGGUCUGGGGAAUAACGCUGGUGGAACCAUGCACUGGAAUGACACACGCCCGGCACAUUUCAGGAUACUAAAAGUGGUUUUAAGGGAGGCUGUGGCUGAAUGCCUCAUGGAUUCUUACAGCUUGGAUGUCCAUGGGGGACGAAGGACUGCAGCUGGCUGAGAGGGUUGAGAUCUCUGUUUACUUAGAUCUCUGCCAACUUCCUUUGGGUCUCCCUAUGGAAUGUAAGACCCCGACUCUUCCUGGUGAAGCAUCUGAUGCACGUUCCAUCCGGCGCUCAGCUGGGCUUGAGCUGACCAUACUCCCUGGAGCCUUCUCCCGAGGUGCGCGGGUGACCUUGGCACAUACAGCCAUCAUGAUGGUACUUUAAGUGGAGGCUGAAUCAUCUCCCCUUUGAGCUGCUUGGCACGUGGCUCCCUUGGUGUUCCCCUUUUACUGCCAGGACACUGAGAUUUGGAGAGAAUCCUGUUACACCUGGGAUUUAGGCACUUUCAAUCUGAAAAAAUACAUAUCCUUUCAGCACUCUGGACGGACUUGAGAACUGUCCUUACGUGACCUAAAGCUGGAGUAUUUUGAGAUUGGAGAAUUAAGGCCAACAGAGAUUUUGAGAAACACAUUGAAGGAUCUGUUAACACUUGAUAUACCCAAUAAAAGCAGUGGUUGUGCCAGUGCUGAUCUGUCUUGAUGUGAAUGUGAACAAUGGGAACCUGAGCUGAGCAGUUAAUGCUAGGGUGACAGAAACUGGACCUCUCCCAAGACAUGUGACAGAGUAAUACAGCAGCCAACUUCUUCGCCAAAUUAAAGUUUUACAAGAUUUAACCUGUCAUCAAGACCUGGGAUUUUGGUGAGCCAGUCUUGGUGCUCUGUGUUCACCUGGUUCAUCUGAGGAGCUGCAUCUACCCUGCCCAUGCCAUAGAUCCUGCCCUGUUUGCUUCUCCUGUUGCUGCUAGUGGACAUGAGAAGGACAGAAUAACGGGCUCCCAGAUUCACAAGCCCCACCAAGAGGAUCACCCCAGGAACGCUUGGAGGCUGAGGAGUUCACUGAGGCUACUGCAUCUUGAGACUCAGGAUGAAGACCCAGCUUGGGGCUGUCAAAGGUUUUUUGCAUGUCUGACACCCAUGACUCCACCUGGACCUUAUGGCUCCACCCAGAAGCAAUUCAGCCCAACAGGAGGACAGCUUCAACCCAUUACGAUUUCAUCUCUGCCCCAACCACUCAGCAGCAAGCACCUGUUACCUGUCCACCCCCACCCCUUCCCCCAAACUGCCUUUGAAAAAUCCCUAACCUAUGAGCUUUGAAUAAGAUGAGUACGAACUUCAUCGCCCACGUGGCGUGGCCGGCCUCGUGUCUAUUAAAUUCUUUUUCUACUACAA